rnacentral:rRNA from 1 species
UGCAAGUCGAACGGUAAGGCUCCAGCUUGCUGGGGUACACGAGUGGCGAACGGGUGAGUAACACGUGGGUGACCUGCCCUGCACUUCGGGAUAAGCCUGGGAAACUGGGUCUAAUACCGGAUAGGACUGCACCGUGAGGGUGUGGUGGAAAGUUUUUUCGGUGUGGGAUGGGCCCGCGGCCUAUCAGCUUGUUGGUGGGGUAAUGGCCUACCAAGGCGGCGACGGGUAGCCGGCCUGAGAGGGUGGACGGCCACAUUGGGACUGAGACACGGCCCAGACUCCUACGGGAGGCAGCAGUGGGGAAUAUUGCACAAUGGGCGGAAGCCUGAUGCAGCGACGCCGCGUGGGGGAUGACGGCCUUCGGGUUGUAAACUCCUUUCACCAUCGACGAAGGGUUUCUGACGGUAGAUGGAGAAGAAGCACCGGCUAACUACGUGCCAGCAGCCGCGGUAAUACGUAGGGUGCGAGCGUUGUCCGGAAUUACUGGGCGUAAAGAGCUCGUAGGUGGUUUGUCGCGUCGUCUGUGAAAUUCCGGGGCUUAACUCCGGGCGUGCAGGCGAUACGGGCAUAACUUGAGUACUGUAGGGGAGACUGGAAUUCCUGGUGUAGCGGUGAAAUGCGCAGAUAUCAGGAGGAACACCGGUGGCGAAGGCGGGUCUCUGGGCAGUAACUGACGCUGAGGAGCGAAAGCAUGGGGAGCGAACAGGAUUAGAUACCCUGGUAGUCCAUGCCGUAA